rnacentral:snRNA from 1 species
ACAUUCGUAUCUUUUUAUCGUAA